rnacentral:tRNA from 3 species
GGGGGCAUAGCUCAGUUGGGAGAGCACGUCCUUGGCGUGGACGGGGUCGGGGGUUCGAGUCCCCCUGCCUCCACCA